UUUCGUUCAAGGCGCGUCCGAAGCCACGGGCCGAGGCUUUUAACCUACCUCGGAAACGCUCGCUCGCUUCUAAAACGCUCUCCUGAUCCUGAGCAACCCCUCGGCUCUCCGCAAAAGCAGGGACCGCGGCUGGCAGAAGCGCAGCAUCUCUCCUGAGCGCGCCGACAGCGGGAGCAGCAGCAGCAGCAGCAAACACAAAGAAACACCAGACUCGGUAAUCCUGCAAGCACUUCUGCCAUUCUGGCAUGUUUCUCUUGCCCAUCUCUGUCCAGAGCUUAGAGGGUCAGUAAUAUCAUGGCAGAAAGCGAAUGGAUAUGAGGUUGCCAAGGGCUGGACAUGUUGUAAAGCAAGUAUCUCAAAGCAGAAAGAAGUGUCCCAGGCCAAACAGCUGUAGAUAUACUUCCAGCUGCUCAGUUCUCCGGAAAAGGGACACGUGAACUGCACCUUCAAAAUCUCUCUUCCAUAAGGCAGGAGCCAGCCGGUAAACACUUAAUACGUAGUUGAACACUGCACACCUGUGUUUCUAUUGACUUUUAAGGUGAAUGAAUAGGAAAUGUAUUCCUGACGCUAGUUGAACUGGUGCUUUGAUCUGCUACUGCAGGGAGUAAUCAACCAAUAACUUAGAUUUUUAGUGAACUGCCACUGUUUGGUAGACAAGAUUAUGGCAAGUGGUCUGUUAAUGAAUAUUCCUGUGCGAGCACGUGGGCUGCUUGGCGUAAGGGUGGACCUGCGUGGGGCAGGACAGGGGAGGCUCGUGCGUGCUCAGAGGAGGAUCGGUGCUGGUAGCGGUGAUGCAUUACACGGUGAGGGCAGGGGGUAUGCAUUUCACCACGCUGCUUGUAUUUUAGACGUGGCUGUCCACAUUGCACUGCACAAACACUAUCAAAGAGGAACUAAUUCCAUUAUACGUUAUAUUCUUGUUUUGGUAUAAUGCUAUUGAAAUGAACGAACUUUCGCGUGUCUCAGAGUAGGGCAACGAGCUGAAAUGAAUCAAGUCUAGCAUCCCAUCCUGUGAGCAAGGGUCAGGUACAAAUCCAGCACUGGUUUGCCCCCUUUGUGUUUUUCAAAAGUUCAGAUUCAGAUUGGAAUAGAGGUGAGCAAAGGUACAUUUCCACUGCUAACAACAGAGGGCAAGUCUGGAAAUGCAAGGGCUUUGCUCAGGCUGUAGACAGUGAAUGGAGAUGUGUCGCAGGAGGGUCAUGACUCCUAAAGAUAACAGUUGUUUGUGGUCCUGAGAUGAUUCCCAUUGUGUAUUUCUUUCUUUUACUGAAGAGAUUUGCUCAGCCAAAUACACACUGUUCAGUUCAGGCACUAGAAUUCCCACUGAAACCCCUGUAAAGGUUUACCCCAGGGUCUCUUUUAAGGUGUUUUUUUUUAAGAGAAGAGGAUGCUGGGACAGAGCGUGAGGCCAGAAGUGUAGUCAUGCAGGGGUCCACAGCCAGAGAGAGCUGCUCUGCAGGAGUGGAUCAAGUCCUUGGUAGCAGACAGCAUGCCAUGUUCAGUGCCACGCACUGUCACCACCAGCGGGCUGCUGACAGAUCCGGCCUUGAAAACAAACUGUCAAGGAAGGAGCUUGAGGUAUGUGUGAGAUUUGGGUGGACUGAGAUACGUUUUAUGGUUUUCAAUACUCUGAAGUACUACCUGAGCAGUUUUCUUGAUCUUAGCCAGCAUGCUGAGUUAUGUACCAGAGCUGCUCUCACUGAAACCUCUAGACAGCGCAUAAAGGGUAUGUAUCAUGCUGUACAGCAGCAUACCAAUAAUCCAUCUUCCCUCUUUACUAAUCUAACUUAGGUACUGGAAUAACAAAGUACGUAGUCCUUUCUCUGAGCGUGCUUUAUGCAAAAUCAGAGCCUGGGCUAUAAGGAGGAUAUUUGGAAAUUGGGCUUCUCCUGUCAUAUUUAGGACAGAGAAAUAUCCUCCUUUCCUUGUGGGAGUCCUUCUAGUGACCAGCAUUGACAGGGAAGUUACACAAGACAGUGACCCAAAUACAGAUGAAUCCUGAGGCUUUCCAAAGAAGCUUUCCACAGGAAGGGGAACCUAAGCCUGGAAAUCCCAGCAUAGGAUGGUGAUGUGUUGCAUCAGUUUUCAUUCCUGUGCAGCUUUUACUGGACUAAUAUCCAGACUGUGCGCAAGAGGAAUGGAAACCAGAAGCAGAUGUGAAGAGUGCAGAGUUCCUUCGGUAGGUCAGAUAGAAAGCCCAAGCGUUUGGGGUUUGGUUCAACUCAUGCACUGAUCCUGAGCCAGAAGCAAGCACAAAUCCUCUAGCAGACCACGGGCAUGAAACACCCCUGGGAGCAGCAGGAAAGGACAAAGCAUUUAAGGCAAGGGAAGAACUGAGGCAGAGGCCUGCUGGGAGUCCUGUACAGCGCUGCGUGUGGUAGGGCAGAGAGAUACAUCCCCUGCGGUAUAGAUGCUGGGCCAAGGAUUACAUAGGUGUGCAUGGGGAUGCAGCAUCUGCUUGAGCCCAAACACAGCCUGCGGGACUGCCUGACCCCUCAUCUGCCAGCUGACUUCCUCCCUACCCUGCUGCAGGCUGCACCCCAGCCACUUCAUUUCCUCUGCUGUAGGGCAGGUAUUUGUGAAGGACUUUGUCAGGGCUGUUGUCCGUAAUGUGGCUUGCAGCAGUCUUGCGGUAAUGGCUGAAAACCUUUGCGUACCCAAGUUGCGUGCGUGUGGUAUAGUUCAGAAUAAGCUUGGAACCGUACAAGUUGCAUGCAGACUAGUGGUUCAGUGCUUUGCACUGAUUUUUUUUUUUUGUUGUUGGCCUGGUUUCUCCAUUAUUUCACACCAUAUGUUGUCAGUUACGCUGAUGGAACAAGAGUAGAAAAUUAACACCUUUCUGAUUUGGUAGCAUUUUGCUGUGGCUUUCCAUUGGCACAAAAAGCAAGUAUAAGUAGCAACGCUGUGCAGAAUGGUUUCCCUGCCUGAAGACAGCUCUGCUAAUGCCGGCCUGGCAAAACAGAACUAUAAACGCAGUGAGGUCCCGAGGUUUCUUUCCACUGCAGAGACCAAGUGAUGCUCCUGAAAAACUAUGGAAAAACAGUUACUGACCUUAACUCCCUUCCAGCAUCGAUUCAUUUUUCUCUUGGUUUAAUGUUGAAAACAAAGUUGUAACUCAGUCACGGACUGUGGAAUUCAUCCCAGAAGAAACGCAAGGACCACCAACAACGUGGACCAGUAAAUCACCUCAACCACCGCUGUAAUGCAGCCACUUCUGGAUAAAAUCACUCUGGUGUGAGCAAACAUCUACCCUUCUAAAGCAAGGAUAUGCAGGAAAGGAAAAAAAAAAAACCCUCCAUUUUGGUAUUUGCACUGGAUAUUGCUUGAAAAGCUCAUAGCAGUGAGAGGAGAGAGGCUGUGCUAUCACUCAGGACCUAGCUAAGCCUCUGGCAUGUUCGGUCACCCUCUGACUCCACACAGUGUUUCUGGGUUACUUCAGUGAGAAAAUAAGCAGAAUUCAUGAGCUUCUGUCUUCCUUUGGAUCCGUUCUUACUUCCCUCCCUGCCUCAUUCGUCUCGUCUGCUUGGUCUGACAAUCGUGAUAAUGUCCUGAACACCUGCUGCUGUGGAAACUCUUCUGAUGUCAUUUUCUGAACACAGUGACUUCAGACACAUGGAAUGAUGAGCAAAUCAAGAUGAACCUGAAGUGGAAUUCUGGCAGAAUUUCUCGUCCAGCCUCAGCUACAAUCCGGGUGACUGAUUUGAGUUGGCGAGAUAACCUAAAUCCCAGUCCACUGAUUAAAGAUGAUGGAGAGCUACUUAUGGAUGAAUACCUUACCCCCAGGAAACUGAAAGCUUUGGCAGGGGUAGAUGAUCUACAGCAAGUGAAGGCUCUAGAGAUGCGAGUAGAUACAAGAGAGAACAGCUUGGGGAAUUUUGGUGCCUAUCUACCUAACCUGAGAGAACUGAAACUGAACAAUAGCUUGCUUGCAUCUGUGAGCACCAGCUAUUGGAGACAAGAUUGGCUACACAGGAAUCUCUACUCCCUUUUCAAAAAGUUUGAAGCCCUCCUUAGUUGUGAAAAGAGGACUAAAAAAGUGAACCAAGUGACUUGAGUGAGGAUUUUGCUGAUGAUUUCAUGACUUUAAGAAACCAGAGCUGAAGUAAUUCUUUUGUAACUGGGAGGAAGAAGGUCUUUAAUGUUUAAAAAUAUUUUUGAGAUCUGAAUCACGAUCUUUGGGCAUUUGAAAUUAGCCAUGUUAUUCCUUGGUGCUCAUCCAACUCAGAUAUCUGAAAGUCACAAGUCUCACGUUGAAAACUGAACACCCGUCCAAAUGCUUUGUUGCAUCAGAACCAAAUUGCUCUGUGCUGUAUAUGACUGAGCUGUAAUGUUGGUCACCAAAAAACUGAAGUACUACUGGUGGUGUAUGUCCAGGCAUCUGCUGUUUGAUGGACAGCUUUAAACAGAAGAUGUUUAGGGGCAUUGUUCCCCUUAAUCCGUUUUUUCUUCCUAUCAUUUUCACUAAUUCCUUUCCGUGCUAUAUUUUCUUCAGUUUGCCCUUUUUUUCUUCUGCCUAAGGACAUUCAUAUUAUUGAUGCAAAGUAAUGAUUUUGGGAUAGAAAUAUGGUUAUUUUCAGCUAAGUAGAUUCUCUUCAAUAAAGCACAGGUAGCCAGUCUGCAUGAGAUUCCUAGGGAGACCUGAUUCCUUUGAGCGUUUAACAAUUCUAGGUAGACCACCUCAAAGAUGCCUAGCUCUCCUUUGGUUAGGAAGGAAGUUUAAUGCUCCUAUCCUUUCUCAUUUUAAUUUCACCAUAUUAGCUGCUCAGAGUAGAUAGUAUUAAUGUCUUUUUGGCUUUAAAUGUCUGGGACUCUGAUGGGCUGAUUCACCAGCAAGGGAAGCUGAACUUGUUUUCUGUUUUUACAAAAAAAAAAAAAAAAAAAAAAAAAAAAGCAAGCACCAUUUUGGUUCUGGAGCUCAGGCUUUUCUUUAUUUUGCAGCAUGUCUAGAGGACAUCAGAACAGGUCUUUGGCCUUGCAGUGUCUUUCCAUGGUUCUUGUCUCCAGCAUGCUACGUUUUAUGUAGCCUUCCCCAGUUGAAGCUCCCCUGCAACCUUUGUCAGGCUCUCUGCCUGUCAGGUUCACGUGGCCUUCUCCCCAUGCAUUCCUCAAAUUUGUGGUUCUUUCUGAUCGGAUAGUUAGCCUUCUUGUUGGGAACAUUAUAGUAAGAUUAUAUGUAGGAUCAGGUUUAGAAGGCUAGAGAGCUUUUUUUCAGCUUUUUUUUCUCGUAUACUGCAGUGCUUUCUGCAGAAUAAACGAGGCUAGUGAAAGAGCAAAGGAAGUAAAUAAUAGAUAACAGAUGGAACAUGUCUGUCAGUAAAUGCCAGCAAGGUGAUGUAAGCCCAUGAUUUAAUAAAUAAUUGUGCCCCUUCUCUGUUCACCAUCUGAAUGGAAACAGCACUUUUAGUGUAUUUGGAAAAAAGAGAAGGUUGAUUGACUUUUCCUUUCAGGUUGUUACCUCUGCGCUGUGCACCCAUCUGAGAUGAACAGUUCAGCUUUUCUUUACUGCUGCCUCAGGCACUGCCUUGUUAACAUGGCUCUGCUGAAUAUUUGAGCAGUAAAUACCUCUGCUGGAGCCUGGGGUUGUUUACAUGAAGCCCUCCAGCCCUCUGUGUGGUUGAAAUCCUCUUGUUUCCCCUUUUCCAUGUGUAGUUAUCUCUGGGGUCCAGCUUCAGCUGGUGUUGCCCAGCCUGCUGUGGCUCAUCUCAGAGUGAGCACUUACUGAGGUGAGGAUGUUCCUUCAUCAAGAAAAUGCAUAGAUAAAAGCUUUUAUCAUUUCCAAAGGGAACCUCGGAAAUGAUCUAUUAACCGCUGUUUUGUUCUUACAAAUACUGAUUGCUUUCAGGUAGUAAUUAGCUAAGACCUGUCAAUUGUUGUUACUGAAUGAGGAGCAUUUAAGGCACCACAGUCUCUCCAGAUUCCAGUUUCUGGGGUUACAGGUGCAGUUUUACUCUUUGAACCAGCUGGAGAUAGGAAUGGCAGCAGCUUACCCAUAGACUAGAGGGACUUGGUGGCUUUGUGGCUUAGCCACAGGCCCAGAACUUCAAAAAUAGGGUUCAGCUGGUGGGUUAGCCACAGACCUGCCAUGUCCCAGUCAUGGUGCUGGCCUGCUCCCUGUUUGUUCCAUAGCUGUUGAAAAUACAGAGUUUCUGCCUCUGUUGUUUACUUUAUAAAACCUUCAGGGGCAGACGCAGUCAUUUUAACGUGUUAUAUACAGAGCUUUGCCUGAUGGGAUCAUGAUCUCAGUUACAUGCUCUAGAUGCUCCUAUUGUAUAAUAAAUAAAAACAUUAGUAAUAACCAGCUGAUUUCUGCCAGCACAUAAGCACUUACGUGCCCAGCUAUUAAGGUUUGCAGCUGCUACAUUUCAGCUGCCAGUGUCAGAGCUCACUUUAUGGAAAUUUACACCUAAGUGUUUGUUUUAGUCAGUGAUGAGAAGGAAUGGUUGUAAUCAUCACCUCAGAAAACCCAAAGAAUCGGGUUGGGAAGCCGUUGUAAUUAGCCUGUUGCUGGUGGAGCUAUACAGCUUUCAUAGUCUCCAUAACAACCGUGGUCCAAGCAGCCAUCAGGAAGGUUGUCCUUGCAGAAAUAGGGAGGAAAAUAAUCUUAGCAUUGGUAUAAUGGGUUUGUAAGUUGUUUUGGCUUUCUCUUUAGUGGCUUGACUACAGGUUACGUUUUCUUUGGAAACAGUUAAAUUCAGUUGAAAAUUAUGGUCUCAGAAUUCAAGGUAAGUACUGAUUAAAAAAAAUAAAGGGGAUAUUAGGCUGCUUGCUUGUAUUCAUCAAUUGGUAACUGCUAAGCAAUGUGAAUGAGUAAUGAAGACAUGAAUAAGAUUUCAGUGCACAAUAGGUUCUUAUAAUCUAAUUUCUGUAAAAUAGUCUUUGUGUAGGAGUUGAUUUAGUUAUUGUUCUUAUCAUCUGUGGACACAUUACCGCACACAGCAGACCUGUUGCUAUUUUUCCCUUAACAUAUGCACACUUUUUUUGGAGAUUUAGUUUUGAUUUGCUGUUGGUUGGAAAGCCUUACUCUUUUGGACUGAGAUCUUUACAGACUGCAUGAGGUCUCUUUGGGAUGGCCAAUACCUACAAAAAGAAAUAAGGAAAUGUCUUCCUGUUUUAGGAAGAGAGAGGUCUGUGAUUCAGCAGGCAGCAUGGUUCCCAUGACACUCCGUGCAUAUCCCCAGCAGGUAUAGCACGCACACGUUCUUCACCUUAAGCUGCGCUGUGCGUUCAUCACAUGGAGCUGAGGACCUGAACAAAAAGAUUUGAUAGAAAGACCUACCACCCGCUUUCAAUAAUAGAUAUUUUAUGAAGGACUGUGUUUGACAGAGCAUUUACGUUAUUCUCUAGUUUGCACUGCAUCAACUUGGCUGUCCUACCAGUCAACUUUAUACUCUCGCUCCUAUUUCUCCUUGCUACAGAAAAGAAUUUAGACAUUUGUUUUGCUGUGUUUAUUGUUGUUCAGUUUAUCUUGUUCUUAGUAAUUGCCCCUAUUAAGGUCUCUCAAACUUUUUUUUGAGGAUGUCGUUCUCAGCAUCCCAAGGUAAAUCCAAUUUUAAAAUGUUGUGUUUGUUCCAUAGGAAUUCACUUAUUUUAAAAAAAAAUUAAGUUCUCUUGCCACAUGUUAAAUUUUGGCCCUAUGAAAAGUAAGAAUUAUUAGCAUAAGUUUCAUCCUUUAUAGAAUAAAGACAUUAAAAUGUGGUUGCUAAGUUAUACUGGAGGAUUAAAAAAAAAGAUAAUAUGCUUAUUUGUAUAAUGAGUCUUACAUUGUUGCUUUAUGUAUUUAAACAAUACAGCCUCCACUGUCUAAAGGACCUUCUGUAAAGUUCAUCUGUGUGAAUAAGCCAAUUAUAUAUAUUUUGGGUGUUUGUUCUCAUCUGCAAAAGGCAAUGAUCUUCCCAUUAUUUUAAGGCAAAAGAGCAUGUUUUUCUGACUA